rnacentral:rRNA from 1 species
GACGAACGCUGGCGGCGUGCUUAACACAUGCAAGUCUACGGGAAAGAGGAGCUUGCUCUUCGAGUAUAGUGGCGCACGGGUGAGUAACAUGUAAGUAAUCUACCUUUAGCCUGGGAAUAACGUCGAGAAAUCGGCGCUAAUACCGAAUAAUGCAGCGGCACCACAUGGUGAUGUUGUUAAAGUCUAUAUGGCGGCUAUAGAUGAGCUUGCACCUGAUUAGCUAGUUGGUGAGGUAAAGGCCCACCAAGGCAACGAUCAGUAGCUGGUCUGAGAGGAUGAUCAGCCACACUGGAACUGAGACACGGUCCAGACUCCUACGGGAGGCAGCAGUGAGGAAUAUUGGGCAAUGCCCGUAAGGGUGACCCAGCAACGCCGCGUGGAGGAUGAAUGCCGUAAGGUUGUAAACUCCUGUGAGAAGGGACGAAAGUGCAGGUUCGAAGCCUGCUUUGACUGUACCUUCAGAGGAAACCCCGGCUAACU